AACAGGAUUAGAUACCCUGGUAGUCCACGCCGUAAACGAUGUCGACUUGGAGGUUGUGCCCUUGAGGCGUGGCUUCCGGAGCUAACGCGUUAAGUCGACCGCCUGGGGAGUACGGCCGCAAGGUUAAAACUCAAAUGAAUUGACGGGGGCCCGCACAAGCGGUGGAGCAUGUGGUUUAAUUCGAUGCAACGCGAAGAACCUUACCUACUCUUGACAUCCAGAGAACUUAGCAGAGAUGCUUUGGUGCCUUCGGGAACUCUGAGACAGGUGCUGCAUGGCUGUCGUCAGCUCGUGUUGUGAAAUGUUGGGUUAAGUCCCGCAACGAGCGCAACCCUUAUCCUUUGUUGCCAGCGGUCCGGCCGGGAACUCAAAGGAGACUGCCAGUGAUAAACUGGAGGAAGGUGGGGAUGACGUCAAGUCAUCAUGGCCCUUACGAGUAGGGCUACACACGUGCUACAAUGGCAUAUACAAAGAGAAGCGACCUCGCGAGAGCAAGCGGACCUCAUAAAGUAUGUCGUAGUCCGGAUUGGAGUCUGCAACUCGACUCCAUGAAGUCGGAAUCGCUAGUAAUCGUGGAUCAGAAUGCCACGGUGAAUACGUUCCCGGGCCUUGUACACACCGCCCGUCACACCAUGGGAGUGGGUUGUAAAAGAAGUAGGUAGCUUAACCUUCGGGAGGGCGCUUACCACUUUGUGAUUCAUGACUGGGGUGAAGUCGUAACAAGGUAACC
rnacentral:rRNA from 1 species